rnacentral:lncRNA from 1 species
UUCUUGUGCAUCUCCACUCUAUCUGCCACAGCCUCCAUGAUUGCAUGGAGUUUAGCAAUCACCGAAGGAUCAGAAACAUCGCUCACAGAAGGGAAAAUACCAUUAGUACUCGGCUCGUAUUUCUUCUCCAAAUUGCUGGUGGUUGCAGCUGUGAGACCAACUCCCAUGUCCAGUACUUCCUGUAGUACCAAAUCUCUAGCGGGGAGGUUCAAAGAUAGGCGGCCGGGCUGGAGUUUAGGCAUAUUGAUAGUAGCUCUUAUCAUUCCUCUCCGGCAACGAGAUGAGGAAUAAGCCACUGACGUAAUAACAGCCGAUGAAAAUUGAAGACUCACCAUGUCCUCUCCUUGAACGAUCUGUAUGAGUUUCUUCUUGUUGCUAAGAUUGGUUGAUUCUAAUGGGUAUGUAGUGAAUGGCUUAGGCUUGUAGUGAAAUGUGGUGGCAAUGCAACCUGGAUUAUAUAUAGGGAAUGGGAGUGGACCAAGUACGCUAUUCAACGUUUGAAUGGUCUCAUGGGUCUUGGCUUAGACCUUUUCUUGUCUUUGGUUAAUUGGUGUUUCACCUCUCAAUUACGCUGCUUGUCAAAUAGGGCAUUGAGGCAGUACUUCAUUGACUUUUAACCUGCGAAAACCAGUAAAACCUUGAAAUAGGCGUAGGCAUUACAAGUACAUAUUUUAAUUAAGAGUUCAAAAUCCCAAUGAGUACGAACAAUUCCUUCAGCUCAUUAUCACUCGUUAGAGAUAUUUGUCAAAUGUUUUUGAGGUGAUAUAUGAUGAAGAAUUUAAAUUUAAAUUCCCAAUAAGGGGUCAUGACCAGAAAUAAUAAAAUCAACUUUUGCUUCUCCAAUAUUUCUGGGUCUGAAUUCUGUAGCCACAUAUCGUUGAUCAGCAGAUAUAUUUGACGUAACUAAAACAUGGGAUUUGUUCAAAGAUUACAAGUAUUUUGAGCAUUAUCACCAUUAUUUGGUCAAAAAGUGCUACUGUUAUAAUCCAACAUUCAGCCUGUCUGAGACCCAAAUGUUAUGGCUUAAAGCAAGCACUAAGUGCAUUGUAUGGUCAAAUUAAUGGAUACUUCAAGCAAAAAUCUAUGUUGUAUGUUAAGACGAGGUAUGAAUGAAAUAUUUGGUAUUUGCCUUUUAAGUUUAUGGUUUGAUUUAUACUAGUGAAUGUACGUAUUAUUUUAAUGAAAGAAUUUUAAAAAGAUGAUGAUCACUAAAUUUGAGAUGAUUGAUUUAACUUGAUGAGUUAUUUUCUUAUGUUGGAAAUACAGAAAUUUUUAUUUUUCAAGAGAAGUAUAAAAAUAUUCUUCUUUAGAAAUUUGAAAUGAAGAACUAAAAUCUAAUGAAAACUCUUAUGAAUGUCAAUGAAAAAUUUUAUUUGAAUGAUAGGGGAUAAAAGGUUGAUAUUCAAGAGUAAUGAAGUUUGGUUGGUAGCUUGUUAUAUCUCACCAAUAAUAGGUUAAAUAUUAUGCAAGCAACAAGUCUCUUAUUAAGGCUUAUGCAAAGUUCAAGCAAGCUUUAUUAUGAUGCAAGUAAGAAAGUCUUAAGAUAUUUAAAAGGAACAAGUUCAUAUAGUAUUUGGUACACUAAUAUAACUGAUCUUUAGCUUUGUUUUUUUUUUAAAAAUUUUGUAGUGAUUGGAUAGGUUUCAUCGAAGAUUGAAAAAUAACCAUAGGCUAUAUUUUCAAUCUUAGUUCAGGUUUGUGGAAUUCAAAGAGUCAUCAAUUGCUUUGUCUUCCUUAGAAGCGGAACAUAUUGCAACAACUUUUAGAGCUUAUGAAAUUAUUUGGUUAAGAGGAAUUUUAGAAGAUAUGAAACAACAUUAAGAAGAGCCCACAAUUAUCCAUUAUGAUAAUCAUUCAACGAUUUUUGUGACAAACAACCUCCAUGUUUCAUGGGUGCACAAAACAUAUAAAGAUACUUUUUCAUUUUAUCAAAGAGUUGGUAGUCAAAGUUAUUAUUAAGAUGAUAUAUUAUAACAUCAAUGAAUAACUUGGUGAUAUAUUUAUGAAAUCUCUAUCUUUAGAGAUAUUUGAGUUUUCACGGAUAUUUUAGGAGUUGCAACAUUUCAGCAUUAAGUAGAGAGUUGGAAUUAAUGUUGAUAUUUUAUUGGUUAGCUACAAUUUUAUUUUAAAUCAAAUAAAAUAAAAAAUAUAGUAUACCAUCUUUGGAAGUAUUCCAUACUUGUAUAAGUGGAUUAGUGUUAGUCAACUAGUAGUUAACUUAUUUAAGAAUUUGUUAGAGUUGGAUUGUUUAUUUAAAUGCAAAUUGAUUAAUAAAAAAUCAAUCUAAUUCAAUUAGACUUCUUGCUUCUUAUCCAAACAUUUUUAAGUGCUCUAUUUUAUUUUUACUUCUCACUUCUUAAUAGUUGAACUUCUUUUGGAUUAUCAGGCUCAUUCCUUAACUUAGGCUUUCUUUGGUGCGAUCGAUCUCACUUGUAGAUUUAGAAAUAUUUCCCUCAAAUAUGGGAAGAAAAUUGUGAAAAUAUUUCAAUUAAAAAGUAAAGAGUGUGUGUGGGAGGAGGAGGGAAAACAGGGAAACUAGAAUUAUACCAGGCACAUGCAAUGAUGCUGUGGAAGAUGACACGGAACUGGAGCAACACAUACUGGUGAUUGACCCAUCCCACCACCGGCUUGAAGGCCCAGAGCCGCAUUUACAUCCAUUAGAGAUUUUCAAAAGGAUGUAAUCAUAUCUGAUAGUGUAAAUAAUGAUCAAUGUAUACAGCACUGCUGGAUAAUCCUUCUUGAUCUUAGUUUUCACAUGGGUCUAGGGUCUUCUUGCAUUUCAUAAGAGUAUACAAUCUAAGGGUCUGGUCAUGGACUGUAAGUAUUUUAUAUCAAUGCCUCUAUGCCAAGCCUAGUCACCAAUCUGCAAUUUUUUUAGGCUUUGUUUAUAUGGUUGUUUACUCUAAAUUAAAUAUUGAUUGAGGAAUUUCUUAUGCCAAUAUGUAGCAAGGUCAACCAGGGAACUGGUUUACAUCCAAUGCCUUCAUUGCAUCUAUCUCUGAUGUGCAUAUGGCCCUCUAUUCCUAUGUAUUGCUUGCAAGAUUCCAUAUAGUAUUGAAGUUAUACAAGGAUCAAGGUGAGGGUUGCCUACCUAUAUUUCCAUGAAACUUGAAGAUAUGAUCAUGGACAUUACCCUCAACAACCAGCCCAUAGUAGACCAUUUAUACAAAGUUGUUCCAAGGUGAAGAUGUCAAUUAUUCGAUGACCCCCUGAAAUAAAUAAUUUAAUUCGGCAAUUAAUUAGAAUAGAACAACACGUUAGACAUAAAUCAGUACCCGUAGUAGACCCUAGGAUUUCCGGAAAUUUAAGGUUCACAUUUAACCCUAAAACUCCAUGAAAUCUAUAUAAAAACUGGAACAUUAUUUCUACAUCUUGGAGUCUAUUAAUUAAUUUUUCCUUCUUGUUGGAUUCAAAUUCCCAGCAUCAAAGUUCGUUAAAAUUCAAUGGAGUGACAACUAUCUACUGUAAAGAAAGAAUCAUUUGGUGGCAAACCCACCAUUUACUUUGCCUUAUGAUAGAAGUCAGAACCUCCUCAGACUCAAAAGUAUCUGCCUUAUUUCAAUAGAGUUCAAACGAAGGAAUGAUAAUUUUGACCUUUUCCAUGUAUAGUUUACACUGUUUUUCCUCCCCUCUAUAUAUAGUAUAUAUGGACUCGACUAACCCACCAACCCCAUACGAAAAUGAAACUUUUCUGUCUCAGAAGCUGCAUUUUCUUAGUUGCCAUUUAGAUUUUCAUGCUUUCUUCACUAGAAAAAAAAAAAAAAAAAAACCAAAGAAAUUUUAGAUGAUAAAGAAAAAGUAUAAAGUAUUGCAUUGUUUAUUAUUCAUGGACUUUCAUCUCCAAAUUGACCCAGAAAUACAUCGGUUUUAGCUGAAAGCAUAUAAAACUUUUUAAUUUUCAGUUUCGGUGAGCAGAUGUGUUCAAAUUGCUGAAUAGAAAACGGACUAAUUCAAUUUCCAUGGAAUAUUCAGACCUUUUAGCAGUCUGAUUUCAAUUGAAUGAAUGAAUAAAUGAAUUACUAGAUUGUACAGCCCUAUUGUGUUUAUAGACAAGGUUACAAUGAUAUACAAGAUUUAGUGUAUUAUCAACAAAACUGAGGAUGAACCACCACGAUAUUAGAAGAGCUUGCUUGCAAACUCUUCAAUGGCCUCUCCUUUUUUGGAAGAAGAAUAAGAGGAUGCUGCCAGAUCCUUGAGCCCGGACAAGCUUCUUCCUAGCUGUAGAGCCACCUUCAUUUCAAACAAUUCCCCAUUCUCUCUUCUCCCCACAUCUCUUUCAUUCAGAUUUGACUCUAUGCUCUCUUCCAUCAGCCGGAAGAAGCCUGCGUUGCCUCUAUACAUCUCAAACACCAUGCCCACUUGCCAGCCAUGCUCCAUUGUGUUCACCACGCUUGCCAUGGCUCCAGCUACGACUCCUAGUGUCGCGGCCCAGGGACCAUGAGAAGAUCCCACGAACGCAGUUCCACAAGCCGAUAAGCCUGUCAAUAAGGGGCCAGAAAUGGCGAGUAUCUUGUUAACUUUCAAGGCUAUUUUGCCCAGCCUCAAAUAGUCUUCAGUGUCCUUCCUCUUCAAAACCCCAACAACUUCUCUCAUUUCUUCCUCCAACUCCACACUCCAACCAUUUCCAUCUGUUCUCCCACUAUGCCUUUCCUGUCUUUGCCUGUGCUGCGGCCACCAUACAGCAGGUUCCACAGUUUUGGGGAAUUUAUCAAGCAUGGCUCCUAGUAAAGGAAGCGGGAAUGCCUUGUCCAGUGCCAAAACUUUCUCCAUGGCUUCCUCAACAUCGUUACUAGUAGGAGUGCCACAAGAGAGUGUUCUUUGAAUCUGGCCAUGAAGCUGCUUAAACAGCCUCGCAGCAUUGCGCUGUUCUUCGACGAGUUGAGAUGGCUGUAUCUUAUUCAUCACCACCAACAUCCCAGUGGCUGCCAAAUACAUCAGAGUUGAAGAGAGCUUCAGGGCCACAAGGGGUCCUCCUACACUUGUAGCAGCAAUUCCAGCCAUGGUUGCAGCAGUGAGUGUGAUUGCAUUAAUGGAUGUCAAAAGAAGAUGGUUCCAAUUAUCACGCUGCUCCCCGAUAUUCUUGUGCAUCUCCACUCUAUCUGCAACAGCCUCCAUGAUUUCAUGGAGCUUAGCAAUCACCAUAGGAUCAGAAACAUUGCUCACAGAAGGCAAAGUAGUAUUAGGUCUGGACUCGUAUUUCUUCUCUACAUGGCUGGUGGUUGCAGCUGUGAGACCAACUCCCAUGUCCAGUACUUCCUGUACCAGAUCUCUAGCGGGGAGCUUCAGAGAUAGGCCGCCAGUCCGGAGCUUAGGCAUAUUGAUAGUAGCUCUUAUCAUUCCUCUCCGGCAACAAGAUAAGGAAUGAGGCAAUGAACCAAUAACGCCUGAAGAUUGAAGACUUGCCAUGUCCUCUCCUCGUACGAUCUGUAUGAGUUUCUUCUGGUUGCUAAGAUUGGGUUAUUCUAAUGGACGGGUAUUGAAUGGCUUAGGCUUGAAGAAGUGUAGUGAAAUGGGGUGGAGAUGCAACCUGGAUUAUAUAUAGGGAAUGGGAGUGGACCAAGUAUGCUGUUCAACGUUUGAAUGGGAUCAUGGGUCUUGAUUUAGACUGUUUCUCGUCUUCGGUUUAUUGGGGGUUUCACCCUUCAAUUAGGCUGCUUAUAAGCCAGGGCAUUCAAGCAGUCCUCCAUUGACUUUCAACCUGAAAAAACCAGUAAAACCAAGGAAUUGGCAAAGACAUUACAAGUAUAUAUAUUUUAAUUAACUGUACAAAAUCCGAAUGAUUAUGAACAAUUCCCACAGCUCAUUUAUGACUUUUUAGAGAUAUUUGUCAAAUGGAUUGAGGUAAUAUAUGACCAAGAAUUUAAAUUCAAAUUCGUGGUAAUAGCACUAAUGGGUCAUGACCACAAACAAUAAAAUCAAUCUUUAAUUUGCUUCUCCAAUAUUUCUGGGUUUCAAACCUGUAGCCAUGGACACCACCUUUUUUUUUUUUUUUUUUCUUUGUUUCCCCUCUUCUUCUUUUUUUUUUUUUUUUUUUUUUGUGACUAAAUUGUUGCAAAAUUUAAUGAGAAAUUUAAAUACUUUGCACUGAAACCUCUUGUGCCUUGCUUAUCACAAUGAUAACACUUAAAUUACCUAAUCUUUCUUGUUGCCUUUCUAUUUAGUUUUUCUUAAUCCAUAUUCUUUAGUUACUUUGUGACUAUCACCUAAAAUAGUAUUUUCCCAAUCAAAAUAACAAAAUGAAUCCUCCACUCGUGAUUUCUAUGUUUGAGUGAGUGGGUAUAUGAGAGAAAGAGAGUCCAAUGGUAAGAAAUUAAUAUGUGAAAUUGAAAAUAAUUAAAAAAUUUACCUAUUUCAAGUGCUCAAUUCUUACCUGAAUGCAUGAGGGCUUUUAGAUUUUCACCAAAAAAAUAUGAGAAAACUCAUAUACCUAGGAUUAUAAUGUUAAGAGGUUUAUAAUUUAUCGAAAAAAAUAAAAAUUAUAAUAAACAAUUGAUCAAUCAUCAUGUAGACAGUCAAACUGUAAACAAAUUUAACAACAUUUAUAUCGCUAUAUAUUGAAAUCGUGCAAUCAAUCCACAAAUUGACCAAAAAUACUUACUCCAUCACAUCUAAUGGUUUGAUGAUAUUUAAUAUUUAAAUUUUGGGAACCAAACAUAUUCUAAGAAAUGCCUUUUUUUUUUUUAACUAGAUCCAUCAUCCUCGGCUGUUGCCAAACAAUACUAAAAUUAGAUCUCCUUUUGGGCAUUUCAAUUAUAUAUUUGAACAAUGCAAAGGGGUGAUAAUAUAAUUAUGUUACCAGUUCUUCACUUUUGAGUAAAUAAAUGGGAAUGGUGAGGACAAAGGGAUAAUGUCUGCACAUCGACAAGCCACCCCACAAUUUCUUCUCUUUUGGUCAUAUUCUUGAUUGCAUUUUCGCCAAAGUUCACAUCACAUAAAUUUAAAAUUAAUUAAAUGAAAGGUAAUCAUAGAAAAUGUAGCCAUAAUUACGACCUUAAUGCCUCUUGGAGUCUAUUUAAUGGAAUGACAACUAUCUACUGUAAAAAGAAUCAUUUGGUAGCAAACAUAUUCGUUGACUUUGGCUCCUAUGAUAAAAGUCAGUGUCUCCUCGACACACUGUCUUAUUUCAAUAGAGUUCAAACAAGGAAUGAUAAUUUUGAACUUUUCCAUGUGUGGAUCAUUAAUUACGUGGUUUGUCUUCUUCCAAUGACUUUUAUGCAUAUUAUGGAUUCUAAUAGCCAUCCAACCCCAUAAGAAAAUGAAAAUUUCAACCUCAGGAGCCGCAUUUUCUUAGUUGUCAUUUGGAUUAUCAUGCUUUCUUGCACUAGAAAGAAAACCAAAGAAACUUAGAUGAUAAAGAAAAUCGAUAAAUUAUCACAGUGACCCGGAAAAUGCAUCAGUUUUAGUUGAAUUCAUAAUUUCUUAAUUUUCAGUUUUGGUGAGCAGAUGUGUUCAAAUUGCUGUAUAGAAAAUGGACUAAUUCAAUUUCCAUGGAAUAUUCAGACCUUUUAGCAGUCUGAUUUCAAUUGACUGAAUGAAUACAUGAAUUACUAGAUUGUACAGCCCUAUUGUGUUUAUAGACAAGGUUAGCUUACAAUGAUAUACAAGAUUUAGUGUAUUAUCAACAAAACUGAGGAUGAACCACCACGAUAUUAGAAGAGCUUGCUUGCGAACUCUUCAAUGGCCUCUCCUUUUUUAGAAGAAGAACAAGAGGAUGCUGCCAGACUCUUGAGCCCGGACAAGCUUCUUCCUAGCUGUAGAGCCACCUUCGUUUCAAACAAUUCCCCGUUCUCUCUUCUCCCCACAUCUCUUUCAUUCAGAUUUGACUCUAUGCUCUCUUCCAUCAUCCGGAAGAAGCCUGCGUUGCUUCUAUACAUCUCAAACACCAUGCCCACUUGCCCGCCAUGCUCCAUUGUGUUCACCACGCUUGCCAUGGCUCCAGCUACGACUCCUAGUGUGGCGGCCCAGGGACCGUGAGAAGAUCCCACGAACGCAGUUCCACAAGCCGCUAAGCCUGUCAAUAAGGGACCAGAAAUGGCGAGCAUCCUGUUAACUUUCAAGGCUAUUUUGCCCAGCCUCAAAUAGUCUUCAGUGUCCUUUCUCUUCAAAACCCCAACUACUUCUCUCAUUUCUUCCUCCAACUCCACACUCCAACCAUUUCCAUCUGUUCUCCCACUCUGCCUGUCCUGCCUUUGCCUGUGCUCCGGCCACCAUACAGCAGGCUCCACAGUUUUGGGGAAUUUAUCGAGCAUCGCUCCUAGUAAAGGAAGCGGGAAGGCCUUGUCCAGUGACAAAACUUUCUCCAUAACUUCCUCAACAUCGGUACUAGUAGGAGUGCCACAAGAGAGUGUUCUUUGAAUCUGGCCAUGAAGCUGCUUAAACAACCUCGCGGCAUUGCGCUGUUCUUCGACGAGUUGAGAUGGCUGGAUCUUAUUCAUCACCACCAGCAUCCCAGUGGCUGCCAAAUACAUCAGAGUGGAAGAGAGCUUGAGAGCUACAAGGGGUCCUCCUACACUUGUAGCGGCAAUUCCAGCCAUGGUUGCAGCAGUGAGUGUGAUUGCAUUAAUGGAUGUCAAAAGAAGAUGGUUCCAAUUAUCACGCUGCUCACCGAUAUUCUUGUGCAUCUCCACUCUAUCUGCAACAGCCUCCAUCAUUGCAUGGAGUUUAGCGAUCACCAAAGGAUCAGAAACAUUGCUCACAGAAGGGAAAGUACCAUUAGUACUCAGCUCGUAUUUCUUCUCCAAAUUGCUGGUGGUUGCAGCUGUGAGACCAACCCCCAUGUCCAGUACUUCCUGUAGUACCAAAUCUCUAGCGGGGAGGUUCAAAGAUAGGCGGCCGGGCUGGAGUUUAGGCAUAUUGAUAGUAGCUCUUAUCAUUCCUCUCCGGCAACGAGAUGAGGAAUAAGCCACUGACGUAAUAACAGCCGAUGAAAAUUGAAGACUCACCAUGUCCUCUCCUUGAACGAUCUGUAUUGAGUUUCUUCUUGUUGCUAAGAUUGGUUGAUUCUAAUGGGUAUGUAGUGAAUGGCUUAGGCUUGUAGUGAAAUGUGGUGGCAAUGCAACCUGGAUUAUAUAUAGGGAAUGGGAGUGGACCAAGUACGCUAUUCAACGUUUGAAUGGUCUCAUGGGUCUUGGCUUAGACCGUUUCUUGUCUUUGGUUCAUUGGUGUUUCACUGCUUGUCAGCUUGGGCAUCGAGGCAGUACUUCAUUGACUUUCAACCUGCAAAAACCAGUAAAACCUUGAAAUAAUAAAAUCAACCUUUUGCUUCUCCAAUAUUUCUGGGUCUGAAUUCUGUAGCCAUAUAUCGUUGAUCAGCAGUGACGUAACUAAAACAUGGGAUUUGUUCAAAGAUUACAAGUAUUUUGAGCAUUAUCACCAUUUUAUGAAAUUUCCAGACGUCUUUCUUUCCAAUCAACAUACCGUAUUCCAAUGAGAGAAUAGGCUUUCUUUUUGUCAAUUUUUUUUUAAAAAAUUUUAUGACUAAAUCACAAAUUCAAAAUAAUUUAUUAGUAGGGUCAAUUAUUAUUCAAAAAUAACAAUGAGAAAUAAAGAGAUAAGUUUAGUCUUGAUAUUUUUUUUUUUUCUUACAAGCUUUAUAGUUUUUAUUUUUAUUUUUUAUCUAUACGUAUAUAUUUGAUUUUCUUCCUAUUUCUAUGACAAAUCAAAUAGAUAUUUUGAGUUUUUUAUAUUUUAUUUUAUUUUUUCCUUUUUUAUGAUCCUAACACAAGGUAAUUAAUUAUCAGAAAAAAAUCCCUCAAUUAUUAUAGGAAUUAUAUUAUAAUAAAAUGAUUGGUCUCAUUAAUGUUUAUAAUAUAAUUAAGAUAAUUGAUAAUAUAUAGAAGAAAAUGGAGAAGUUGUUGUUCUCAAUUAUAGUUUAUUUAAUAAAAAAAAAACAUUUUAAAUAUUUUUCUAACUUAGAAAACAAGUUUACAAAACUUGUACAAAAUCAAAAAUUUUUAAAAAUAAUUCUGAAAAUAAAACAUUUUUUCUUUUAAAAAAAAAAUUGACAAGUUUUCAAUUGUUUUUAAAGAAUAUUUUGAGUAAGAAAAAUGCUUUGGGACUUUUUCAUGGUACAUAAAAUAUAUAAAUACUUCUUAAGAAUAAACCACCAAAACUAUUUUUUAUAUUAAAUUUCUAAUCAAAAUUUUGUUAAUUUUGUUAAUUUUUCUUUUAAAAACGAUUAAGAAUUACUCUUAAUAUCUGUUCUAAAACUGUCGGCCCUUUGUAUUUGACUGGUCGCUGGACCAUGGAGCGGCGGUUAGAAUUUGACAGUUUGGCGGCAUCCUUUAGCAAAGAUGAGGUCAUGGGAAUAGGAGGACAGGCGCCAGUGGGCGCUGGCCCUAGUUUAUUUGGUCAAAAAGUGCUACUGUUAUAAUCCAACAUUCAGCCCUCCAUGGAAAUUGUCUUGAGACCCAAAUGUUAUGGCUUAAAGCAAGCACUAAAUGCAUCGUAUGAUCAAAUUAAUGGAUACGUCAAGGAACAAAGUGAAAAUCUAUGUUGUAUGUUAAGACAGGAGGUAUGAAUGAAAUACUUAGUAUUUGCCUUUAAGUUUAUGAUUUGAUUUAUACUAAUAAAUGUAUUAUUUUAAUGAAAGGAUUUUAAAAAGAUGAUGAUGAUUAAUUUGAGAUGAUUGAUUUAACUUGACGAGUUAUUUUCUUACCUGAUGAGUUGUUUUCUUAUGUUGGAAGUCAUCUAAUGGGAUGCAAAAAAAUUUAUUUUUCAAGAGAAGCAUGAAAAUAAUCUUCUGAAUGCCAAUAAAAAUUUUUGUUUAAAUGAUAAGGAAGAAAAGGUUGAUAUUCAAAUAUAAUGAAGUUUGAUUGGUAGCUUAUUAUAUCUCACCAACAAUGGGUUAGAUAUUAUGUAAGCAACAAAUCUCUUAUUAAGGUUUAUGCAGAAUUCAAGCAAGUUUCAUUACGGUGCAAGUAAGAAAGUAUUAAAAUAUUUAAAAUGAACAAGUUCAUAUAGAAUUUGGUACACUAAUACAACUGAAAGGAAAACCUGGUGACCUAUAUAUUUUUAGUAGAAAACACUACCCAUAUUCUCUAUCAAUCUCCUAUUAAUCUUGGUUGUAAUAUCCAUAUUCUCUAUCAAUCUUCUACCAAUCUCGGUUGUAAUUUACAGCUCACACACAUCUCUUGUUACCAGUAUAUAAUACAAUGAAUCACAAAGGAAUGACAUGCUCUCAUUUUUUUAUUCUUUGUGUAAACCUAACAAUAACUAAUCGUUAGCUUUGGAUUUUUUUUUUUAUUGUGAUUGGAUAGGUUUAAUCGAAGAUUGAAAAAUAACCAUACACUAUAUUUUCAAUCUUAGUUCAGGUUAGUGGAAUUCAAAGAGUCAUCAAUUGUUUUGUCUUCCUUAGAAGCGGAACAUAUUGCAACAACUUUUAGAGCUCAUGAAAUUGUUUGGUUAAGAGGAAUUUUAGAAGAUAUGAAACAACAUCAAGAAGAGCCCACAAUUAUCCAUUAUGAUAAUAUUCAACAAUUUUUGUGACAAAGAACCUCCUUGUUUCAGGGGUGCACAAAACAUAUAGAGAUACUUCUUCAUUUUAUCAAAGAGUUGACGGUCAAAGUAACUAUUAAAAUGAUAUAUUAUAACAUCAAUGAAUAACUUGCCGAUAUAUUUAUGAAAUCUCUAUCUUUAGAGACAUUUGAGUUUUCUUGGAUAUUUUAGGAGUUGCAACAUUUCAGCAUUAAGUAGAGAGUUGGAAUUAAUGUUGAUAUUUUAUUGGUUAGCUACAAUUUUAUUUUAAAUCAAAUAAGAUACCAAAUUUUGUACUUGUAUAAGUGGGUUAGUAUUAGAAGGCUAGUAGUUAACUUAUUUAAGAAUUUGUUAGAGUCAGAUUGUUUAUUUAAAUGCAAAAUGAUGAAUAAAAAAUCAAUCUAAUUCAAUUAGACUUCUUGCUUCUUAUCCAAACUUUUUUAAGUGCUCUAUUUUAUUUUACUUCUCACUUCCUAAUAGUUGAACUUCUUUUGGAUUAUCAGGGUCAUUCCUUAACUUAGGCUUUCUUUGGUGCUAUCAUCUCGCUUGUAGAUUUAGAAAUAUUUCCCUCAAAUAUGGGAAGAAAAAUGUGAAAAUAUUUCAAUUAAAAAGUAAAGAGUAUGUGGGGGAGGAGGAGGGAAAACAGGGAAACUAGUAUUAUACCAGGCACAUGCAAUGAUGCUGUGGAAGAUGACACGGAACUGGCCCUCUAUUCCUAUGUAUUGUUUGCAAGAUUUCAUAUAAUAUUGAAGUUAUACAAGGAUCAAGGUGAGGGUUGCCUAACUAUAUUUCCAUGAAAACUUGAAGAUAUGAUCAUGGACAUUACCAGCCCAUAGUAGACCAUGAAUACAAAGUUGUUCCAAGGUGGAGAUGUCAAUUAUUCGAUCAUGAACACCUUAAAUAAAUAAUUUAAUUCGAAAAUUAAUUAGAAUAAAACAACACGUUUGACAUAAAUCAGUACCCAUAGUAGACCCUAGGAUUUCCGGAAAUUUAAGGUUCACAUUUAACCCUAGAAGUCAACAUGUGUGUAAAAGUACUCCACGAAAUCUAUAUAAAACUAGAACAUUAUUUCUAAAUCUUGGAGUCUAUUAAUUAAUUUUUCCUUCCUGUUGGAUUCUAAUUCUCAGCAUCAAAGUUCGUUAAAAUUAAAUGGAGUGACAACUAUCUAGUGUAAAGAAAGAAUCAUUUGGUGGCAAACCCACCAUUUACUUUGGCUUAUGAUAGAAGUCCGAACCUCCUCAGACUCAAAACUACCUGCCUUAUUUCAAUAGGGUCCAAACGAAGGAAUGAUAAUUUUGACCUUUUCCAUGUAUAGUUUACAUUGUUUUUCCUCCUCCAAUGGCCUCUAUAUAUAGUAUAUAUGGACUCGACUAACCCACCAAUCCCAUAAGAAAAUAAAACUUUUUUGUCUCAGAAGCUGCAUUUUCUUAGUUGCCAUUUGGAUUUUCAUGCUUUCUUCACUAGAAAAAAAAAACUAAAGAAACUUUAGAUGAUAAGGAAAAAGUAUUAAGUAUUACAUUGUUUAUUAUUCAUGGACUUUCACUCCAAAUUGACCCAGAAUACAUCGGUUUUAGCUGAAAGCAUAUAAAACUUAUUAAUUUUCAGUUUUGAUGAGCAGAUGUGUUCAAAUUGCUGUAUAGAAAACCGACUAAUUCAAUUUCCAUGGAAUAUUCAGACCUUUUAGCAGUCUGAUUUCAAUUGAAUGAAUGAAUAAAUGAAUUACUAGAUUGUACAGCUCUAUUGUGUUUAUAGACAAGGUUAGCUUACAAUGAUAUACAAGAUUUAGUGUAUUAUCAACAAAACUGAGGAUGAACCACCACGAUAUUAGAAGAGCUUGCUUGCGAACUCUUCAAUGGCCUCUCCUUUUUGGGAAGAAGAAUAAGAGGAUGCUGCCAGAUCCUUGAGCCCGGACAAGCUUCUUCCUAGCUGUAGAGCCAUCUUCAUUCAAACAAUUCCCCAUUCUCUCUUCUCCCCACAUCUCUUUCAUUCAGAUUUGACUCUAUGCUCUCUUCCAUCAGCCGGAAGAAGCCUGCGUUGCCUCUAUACAUCUCAAACACCAUGCCCACUUGCCCGCCAUGCUCCAUUGUGUUCACCACGCUUGCCAUGGCUCCAGCUACGACUCCUAGUGUCGCGGCCCAGGGACCAUGAGAAGAUCCCACGAACGCAGUUCCACAAGCCGCUAAGCCUGUCAAUAAGGGGCCAGAAAUGGCGAGUAUCUUGUUGACUUUCAAGGCUAUUUUGCCCAGCCUCAAAUAGUCUUCAGUGUCCUUCCUCUUCAAAACCCCAACAACUUCUCUCAUUUCUUCCUCCAACUCCACACUCCAACCAUUUCCAUCUGUUCUGCCACUAUGCCUUUCCUGUCUUUGCCUGUGCUGCGGCCACCAUACAGCAGGUUCCACAGUUUCGGGGAAUUUAUCAAGCAUGGCUCCUAGUAAAGGAAGCGGGAAUGCCUUGUCCAGUGCCAAAACUUUCUCCAUGGCUUCCUCAACAUCGUUACUAGUAGGAGUGCCACAAGAGAGUGUUCUUUGAAUCUGGCCAUGAAGCUGCUUAAACAGCCUCGCAGCAUUGCGCUGUUCUUCGACGAGUUGAGAUGGCUGGAUCUUAUUCAUCACCACCAACAUCCCAGUGGCUGCCAAAUACAUCAGAGUUGAAGAGAGCUAGAGGGCCACAAGGGGUCCUCCUACACUUGUAGCAGCAAUUCCAGCCAUGGUUGCAGCAGUGAGUGUGAUUGCAUUAAUGGAUGUCAAAAGAAGAUGGUUCCAAUUAUCACGCUGCUCCCCGAUAUUCUUGUGCAUCUCCACUCUAUCUGCAACAGCCUCCAUGAUUUCAUGGAGCUUAGCAAUCACCAUAGGAUCAGAAACAUUGCUCACAGAAGGCAAAGUAGUAUUACGUCUGGACUUGUAUUUCUUCUCUACAUGGCUGGUGGUUGCAGCUGUGAGACCAACUCCCAUGUCCAGUACUUCCUGUACCAGAUCUCUAGCGGGGAACUUCAGAGAUAGGCCGCCAGUCCGGAGCUUAGGCAUAUUGAUAGUAGCUCUUAUCAUUCCUCUCCGGCAACAAGAUAAGGAAUGAGGCAAUGAACCAAUAACGCCUGAAGAUUGAAGUCUUGCCAUGUCCUCCCCUCGUAUGAUCUGUAUGAGUUUCUUCUGGUUGCUAAGAUUGGGUUAUUCUAAUGGACGGGUAUUGAAUGGCUUAGGCUUGAAGAAGUGUAGUGAAAUGGGGUGGAGAUGCAACCUGGAUUAUAUAUAGGGAAUGGGAGUGGGCCAAGUAUGCUGUUCAACGUUUGAAUGGGCUCAUGGGUCUUGAUUUAGACUGUUUCUCGUCUUCGGUUUAUUGGGGGUUUCACCCUUCAAUUAGGCUGCUUAUAAGCCAGGGCAUUCAAGCAGUCCUCCAUUGACUUUCAACCUGAAAAAACCAGUCAAACCAAGAAAUUGGCAAAGACAUUACAAGUAUAUAUAUUUUAAUUAACUGUACAAAAUCCGAAUGAUUAUGAACAAUUCCCACAGCUCAUUUAUGACUUUUUAGAGAUAUUUGUCAAAUGGAUUGAGGUAAUAUAUGACCAAGAAUUUAAAUUCAAAUUCGUGGUAAUAGCACUGAUGGGUCAUGACCACAAACAAUAAAAUCAACCUCUAAUUUGCUUCUCCAAUAUUUCUGGGUUUCAAACCUGUAGCCAUGGACACCACCUUUUUUUUUUUUUUUUUUCUUUGUUUCCCCUCUUUUUUUUUUUUUUGUGACUAAAUUGUUGCAAAAUUUAAUGAGAAAUUUAAAUACUUUGCACUGAAACCUCUUGUGCCUUGCUUAUCACAAUGAUAACACUUAAAUUACCUAAUCUUUCCUAUUGCCUUUCUAUUUAGUUUUUCUUAAUCCAUAUUCUUUAGUUACUUUGUGACUAUCACCUAAAAUAGUAUUUUCCCAAUCAAAAUAAAAAAAUGAAUCCUCCACUAUUGAUUUCUAAUUUGUAUAAUUUGUAACCAUCAGUUUUAUAAUUAGCACAAUACUAAAAAUCCUUGAAUAACAAAAGCUAUAAUAAUACUUGUUGGGAAAAAAAUUAGGACAUUUCAAUAAUUCAGAUAUAAAAACUGAAAGUUUAAGAUCUUGUAUUGUGGAACUACCCAAAAAGAGGGAUAUGCAAUUUAUGUAGUUUUUAUUGAUUUAGCCCAAAGGUUACAAAUUUUUAGUUUUUAUAUGUUCUUUGAUUAGAAAAUAAUUGACCAAUACAAACAAAGAGUACUCAAUCAUAUACAUGGAUAUGCAAUAUAUAUAGAAAACCACUUAUAAAGUUUCUCAAAGACUUUAGGAAUUUAAAACCUUUAGGGUCAAAGAGCAUAAAACUAGAAUUCACUAAAUUUUAAAAAUUAGGUAUAUGGUUUUAUCUCAUAGUUGCUACUUCUUCAUAAUAUACAUAUAUUCUCACAUCUACAACGUAACACCUCUGAACACUUUAGUAAACUCUUCAAUACCUUAAUGUGAAAUGAUUCUAAUACCUCAAAUCCAACUAAUUUUGAUUUUGAUUUUGAUUUUUUUUUUGUGACAAUGUUAAGUGCAAAGAAUAAUGACAUAAAUUUUAGGCACAUUAAUUCAAAAUCAUACAAUAGCAUACAUAUGUAUAAGGGAUAAACCCUAGUAGACUUGGACUCAAAUUAAAAAUAACAUUUCGCCCAAAAAAAAAAAAAAACUUGAGAAAAUUAGGAACUUUGGAAAACUGUUGAAACCGGGUUGGUUAGUGUUAUGCGUGUCCCUUUCUUCUUUCUUUUUUCUCUCCCUCUUGUCUUAUUUUUAUGUUUGAGUGAGUGGGUAUCACAAGAUUCACAACCACCACAUGGAAAGGGUGACACCAACUUAUAUAUAUAAAUAUAUAAGAGAGAAAGAGAGUCCAAUGGUAAGAAAUUAAUAUACUGUGAAAUUGAAAAUAAUUAAAAAAUUUACUUAUUUCAAGUGCUCAAUUCUUACUUGAAUGCAUAAGGGCUUUUAGAUUUUCACCAAAAAAAUAUGAGAAAACUCAUAUACCUAGGAUUAUAACGUCAAGAGGUUUAUAAUUUAUCGAAAAAAAUAAAAAUUAUAAUAAACAAUUGAUCAAUCAUCAUGUAGACAGUCAAACUGUAAACAAAUUUUAACAACAUUUAUAUCGCUAUAUAUUGAAAUCGUGCAAUCAAUCCACAAAUUGACCAAAAAUACUUACUCUAAGUGGUCAACACUAUUUAGUCACCUUCGAAGAGCUGGUGAGGUCCCCACAAUACUCCAUCACAUCUAAUGGUUUGAUGAUAUUUAAUAUUUAAAUUUUGGGAACCAAAAAUAUUCUAAGAAAUGCCUUUUUUUUUUUUAACUAGAUCCAUCAUCCUCGGCUGUUGCCAAACAAUACUAAAAGCAGAUCUCCUUUUGGGCAUUUCAAUUAUAUAUUUGAAUAAUGCAAAGGGAUGAUAAUAUAAUUAUGUUACCAGUUUCACUUUUGAGUAAAUAAAUGGGAAUGGUGAGGACAAAGGGAUAAUGUCUGCACAUCGACAAGCCACCCCACAAUUUCUUCUUUUUUGGUCAUAUUCUUGAUUGCAUUUUCGCCAAAGUUCACAUCACAUAAAUUUAUCAUUAAUUAAAUGAAAGGUAAUCAUAGAAAAUGUAGCCAUAAUUACGACCUUAAUGCCUCUUGGAGUCUAUUCAAUGGAAUGACAACUAUCUACUGUAAAAAGAAUCAUUUGGUAGCAAACCUAUUCGUUGACUUUGGCUCCUAUGAUAAAAGUCAGUGUCUCCUCGACACACUGUCUUAUUUCAAUAGAGUUAAGGAAUGAUAAUUUUGAACUUUUCCAUGUGUGGAUCAUUAAUUACGUGGUUUGUCUUCUUCCAAUGACUUUUAUGCAUAUUAUGGAUUCUAAUAGCCAACCAACCCCAUAAGAAAAUGAAAUUUUCAACCUCAGGAGCCGCAUUUUCUUAGUUGUCAUUUGGAUUAUCAUGCUUUCUUGCACUAGAAAGAAAACCAAAGAAACUUAGAUGAUAAAGAAAAUCGAUAAAUUAUCACAGUGACCCAGAAAAUACAUCAGUUUUAGCUGAAUGCAUAUUUUCUCAAUUUUCAGUUUUGGGGGCGUUGUGUACAAAUUGCUGUAUAGAAAAUGGACUAAUUCAAUUUCCAUGGAAUAUUCAGACCCCCACUAGUCUGAUUUCAAUUGCAUGAAUGAAUAAAUGAAUUACUAGAUUGUACAGCUCUAUUGUGUUUAUAGACAAGGUUAGCUUACAAUGAUAUGCAAGAUUUAGUGUAUUAUCAACAAAACUGAGGAUGAACCUCUAGGAUACUAGAAGAGCUUGCUUGCGAACUCUUCAAUGGCCUCUCCCUUUUUAGAAGAAGAAUAAGAGGAUGCUGCCAGACCCUUGAGCCCGGACAAGCUUCUUCCUAGCUGUAGAGCCACCUUCGUUUCAAACAAUUCCCCGUUCUCUCUUCUCCCCACAUCUCUUUCAUUCAGAUUUGACUCUAUGCUCUCUUCCAUCAGCCGGAAGAAGCCUGCGUUGCUUCUAUACAUCUCAAACACCAUGCCCACUUGCCCGCCAUGCUCCAUUGUGUUCACCACGCUUGCCAUGGCUCCAGCUACGACUCCUAGUGUGGCGGCCCAGGGACCGUGAGAAGAUCCCACGAACGCAGUUCCACAAGCCGCUAAGCCUGUCAAUAAGGGACCAGAAAUGGCGAGCAUCCUGUUAACUUUCAAGGCUAUUUUGCCCAGCCUCAAAUAGUCUUCAGUGUCCUUUCUCUUCAAAACCCCGACAACUUCUCUCAUUUCUUCCUCCAACUCCACACGCCAACCAUUUCCAUCUGUUCUCCCACUCUGCCUUUCCUGCCUUUGCCUGUGCUCCGGCCACCAUACAGCAGGCUCCACAGUUUUGGGGAAUUUAUCGAGCAUCGCUCCUAGUAAAGGAAGCGGGAAGGCCUUGUCCAGUGACAAAACUUUCUCCAUAACUUCCUCAACAUCGGUACUAGUAGGAGUGCCACAAGAGAGUGUUCUUUGAAUCUGGCCAUGAAGCUGCUUAAACAACCUCGCGGCAUUGCGCUGUUCUUCGACGAGUUGAGAUGGCUGGAUCUUAUUCAUCACCACCAACAUCCCAGUGGCUGCCAAAUACAUCAGAGUGGAAGAGAGCUUGAGAGCUACAAGGGGUCCUCCUACACUUGUAGCAGCAAUUCCAGCCAUGGUUGCAGCAGUGAGUGUGAUUGCAUUAAUGGAUGUCAAAAGAAGAUGGUUCCAAUUAUCACGCUGCUCCCCGAUAUUCUUGUGCGUCUCCACUCUAUCUGCAACAGCCUCCAUGAUUGCAUGGAGUUUAGCAAUCACCAAAGGAUCAGAAACAUUGCUCACAGAAGGGAAAGUACCAUUAGUACUCAGCUCGUAUUUCUUCUCCAAAUUGCUGGUGGUUGCUGUUGAGAUAUUAAAAAUGCUUUCCGUAUAUCAUUCUUUCCUUAUAUUAUUUAGUGUUGAGAUAUUAGGAAUGUUUAAAUAUUAGGAAAGUUGAGAUAUUAAGAAUAUUGAGAUAUUAAGAAAGUUGAGAUAUUAGGAUAUUAGUUGUUAUUUCUUUAUAUCAUUCUUUCCUUGUAUCAUUCCUUCCCAUUCUUAGAAUGGUGAUUACCCUCUAUAUAUUCUCUAUACAUGAAUGAAUGAAAGUAUGAAUGAAAAAAACUAUCAUUUAUCAAUUUGAACAUACCAUGUUCAAAUUGAUGAAUGGUAGUUUUUCAUUCAUCAAUUUGAACAUGGUAUCAGAGCCAUGGAACUGAAAUCCUGGAUAUUUUGUCGCUAUAGUAGUCCGACAGCGAUCAUCCAUCCUAAGACAAGCCCUAAUAUUGAUAAGUCAACCUUCAAAUGCACUCACUAUAAUAAGAUUGAUCCCACCAAUCUGGAUAUCCCACAAUUUCAAAGCAACGACUCUUGGUAUGACUAGGAAAACAAUGAGGAACCGAGGAUUUGAACCAUGGACCUUUAGAUCAUGUUUAGGCUAUCAACAUUUUGUUAUUAAUGAUAAUAAUCGUGAUCAACGGAAGAAAGAUUCCAAGAAAACCUCGAUUGCAACUGUUGCCGAAAUAAAAAUAGAGGCUAAUGUUGUUGAGAAAGCCUCUGCAUUGGUAGCCGCUACAGAUCAUGAUGGUAAGUUUUUAAAUACUUUUACACCUGUUAUUAAUAGUGCAUGGAUAAUUGAUUCUGGUGCUACAGAUCAUAUGACUUUUGAUUCUAGACAGGUUUCACCACUUAGACCUUCCUCACAAAAAAUUAUUUCCACAGCCAAUGGUAACACAACCCCAGUCAUUGGGGAAGGAUCCUUAAAUCUUAAUGAUACUUUGAAUUUGGAUUCUGUUUUAGUUGUUCCAUCUUUAGAUUACAAUCUUUUGUAAGUUUAUGAAAUCACCGCAGUAUUAUCUUAUAGUUUCAUUUUUUGGCCUGAAUUUUGUGUGAUUCAGGACAUCCAAACAAGCUAAAAGAUUGGUUGUGGUAUUAUGAGGAAAGGACUCUAUUACUGGGACUUGCAGUAAAAGGAUUCAAAUANNNNNNNNNNNNNNNNNNNNNNNNNNNNNNNNNNNNNNNNNNNNNNNNNNNNNNNNNNNNNNNNNNNNNNNNNNNNNNNNNNNNNNNNNNNNNNNNNNNNAAGAGUGGCUCAUGUUGGUUUGUUACUUUUAUUGAUGAUUGUACUAGAAUGACAUGGUUAUGUUUGAUGAAGACCAAAGAUGAAGUGAACUUGUUGUUUCAAAAAUUUCAUAAAAUGAUUGAAACUCAGUACAAUGCAAAGGUUCGGGUUCUGCGUAGUGAUAAUGGUGGAGAAUAUCAAAGUUCUGAUCUUCAAAAGUAUUUGGAAGGACAUGGCAUCAUUCAUCAGACUACUUGUUCCAAUACACCCCAGUAAAAUGCAAUCGCUGAACGGAAAAAUCGACACUUGUUAGAGGUUGUUCGUGCUUCUUUGAUAGCAACAAAAACACCGAUAUCUUAUUGGGGAGAAGCAAUCACAUCUGCCGUAUACUUGAUCAAUCGGGUACCUUCCAGCUCAAUUAACUUCCAAACACCUCUCCAAGCUCUUACUAAUGUCGUAGUUGCCCCAACUGUCCCAAAUCUACCUCCUCGUGUUUUUGGUUGUGUGGCAUUUGUGCAUCUAUACAAACACCAAUGCACCAAGUUAACUUCUCAUGCAUUGCAAUGUGUGUUUGUUGGAUAUGCAUUGCACAAAAAGGGAUAUCGAUGUUACCAUCCUCCAACUCGACAAAUGUAUAUUACAAUAGAUGUGGUGUUUCAUGAAGAUUCGAUGUAUUUUUCAUCUGAGUCUGAACUUCAGGGGGAGUACCAUAAGGAAAUUCAGACUCUCGAUUAUGAUUAUCAUAUCUCUAAGGAGAAUGAAUUUGGACAAUCUGAACUAGUGAACCAAGAAGCGGGUGAGUUGGAUAUGAGUGGUCAAUAAUUUGGGUCCGAAGAUGUCUUCACUGAAAUACCAAACCAAUCGUCGUCUGUUGAAGGUGUUUUUAAUUUGGAACCUGAUCCAUUCAUGAAACGGUUACCACACCGUCAUAAUAGAGGUAUUCCUAAACCCACAUAUGAACCUGAAUUGUCUACCAAAGUCAAAUAUCCCAUGAGCAACUAUGUGUCUAACCAUCGUUUGUUUGAAUCAAAUAAGUCAUUUGUAAAUCAAUUAUCUACUGUAACUAUUCCUAACAGUGUGCAGGAAGCCUUAGCUGAUCCAAGAUGGAAAGCAGCCAUGAAUGAAGAGAUGAAAUCAUUGCAGAAGAAUGAAACAUGGGAACUCGUAGAAUGUCCACCAGGAAAGAAACCAGUUGGGUGUCGUUGGAUCUAUACUGUGAAAUACAAGGCAGAUGGUAGUAUUGAACGAUUUAAAGCAAGACUGGUAGCAAAAGGGUACACUCAAACUUAUGGAAUUGACUACACAAAGACAUUUGCACCUGUAGCUAAGAUCAACACAGUUCGAGUAUUACUAUCUUUAGCUGUAAACCUAGAUUGGCCAUUACAAAAGUUCGAUGUGAAAAAUGUUUUUCUGUAUGGCGAGUUAUCUGAAGAAGUAUAUGUGGAUCUUCCACCAGGAUGCAUGGUGUCAGAAAAGCAAUGUCACAAGGCGUGCAAAUUAAAGAAGUCAUUGUAUGGGUUGAAGUAAUCCCCGAGAGCAUGGUUUGGAAGGUUUACAAAGUCAAUGAGAGCUUUUGGCUAUCGUCAAAGUAAUUCAGAUCAUACUUUGUUCCUGAAAAAGCAACAUGGUAAGAUUACCGCACUCAUCGUAUAUGUGGAUGACAUGGUAGUUACAGGAAAUGAUCCUGAAGAAAGAAAAGCUCUGCAAAAUUAUCUAUCUAGAGAAUUCGAAAUGAAAUAUCUAGGUCCUCUGAAAUACUUUCUUGGGAUUGAAGUUUCUCGAUCAAGUGAAGGAAUUUUUCUGUCUCAAAGAAAGUAUGCCUUAGAUCUUUUACAGGAGACUAGAAUGUCGGGAUGUCAACCUAUUAAUACACCAAUAGAAGAAGGUUUGAAAUUGUGUGUUGAGCCUAAUCAAGUAUCAAUCGAUAAGGGAAGAUACCAGAGACUUGUGGGGAGAUUAAUGUACUUAGCUCUGAUACCAUCUUCAAAUUGAUAAAUAGUAGUUUUUUCCAUUCAUACUUUCAUUCGUUCAUGUAUAGAGAAUAUAUAGAGGGUAAUCACCAUUUUAAGAAUGGGAAGGAAUGAUACAAGGAAAGAAUGAUAUAAGGAAAUAACAACUAAUAUCUUAAUAUCUCAACUUUCAUAAUAUCUCAAUAUUCCUAAUAUCUCAAUAUUCUUAAUGUCUCAACUUUCCUAAUAUUUAAACAUUCCUAAUAUCUCACGUCGCUCGUUCAAGUGCAGAAGCAAAAUUUAGAGGUAUGACUCUAGGACUUUGUGAGGCAUUAUGGCUAAGACUUCUCUUAUAAGAUUUAGGUUACCUAUCUAAGCAACCAAUCCGAUUGUUUUGUGACAAUAAAGUCGCAUGUGACAUUGCUCAUAAUCCAGUACAACAUGAUAGUACAAAGCAUGUCGAGGUGGAUAGAUUCUUCAUUAAGGAAAAGUUGGAUGAUAAGAUUGUGGAAUUGCCUAAGAUUCGAUCAGAAGAUCAAUUGACCGAUAUUCUCACCAAAGCUGUCUCAAGUCAAGUGUUCUCAAAAUUUUUAGACAAGUUGGACAUGUGUGACAUCUAUGCACCAACUUGAGGGGGAGUGUUGAGAUAUUAGGAAUGUUUUCCGUAUAUCAUUCUUUCCUUAUAUUAUUUAGUGUUGAGAUAUUAGGAAUGUUUAAAUAUUAGGAAAGUUGAGAUAUUAAGAAUAUUGAGAUAUUAGGAAAGUUGAUAUAUUAGGAUAUUAGUUGUUAUUUCCUUAUAUCAUUCUUUCCUUAUAUUAUUCCUUCCCAUUCUUAGAAUGGUGAUUACCCUCUAUAUAUUCUCUGUACAUGAACGAAUGAAAGUAUGAAUGGAAAAAACUACUAUUUAUCAAUUUGAAGAGUUGCAGCUAUGAGACCAACUCCCAUAUCCAGUACUUCCUGUAGUACCAACUCUCUAGCGAGGAGGUUUAAAGAUAGGCGGAUGGGCUGGAGCUUAGGCAUAUUGAUAGUAGCUCUUAUCAUUCCUCUCCGGCAACGAGAUGAGGAAUAAGCCACUGACGUAAUAACAGCCGAUGAAAAUUGAAGACUCACCAUAUCCUCUCCUUGUACGAUCUGUAUGAGUUUCUUCUUGUUGCUA